AAAUUUUAUAAAAAUUGUCAACAAUAAUUUAAACUCAUAAAUAAAAUAAGCUUAUCAAUUUUUAUUUGAUUGGGGGAAUUAUUAAAUAAAAUUAACUUUAAUAGUAAUAAAAAAUAUUAAUUAGUAAAAUUAAAGAAUGGCUAGUAAAUUUGAAUAGAAUUAAUUACUUUAGGGAUAACUGCGUAAUAUUUUCAGCAAGAUCUUAUUGAUAAAAAUAAUUGC
rnacentral:rRNA from 1 species